rnacentral:misc_RNA from 1 species
CGAGGCCGUCGGCGCGAUGGAAGAGUCGCUCAAGAUCACCGUCGAGUACCUCAAGACCCGCAAGCAGUUCGGCGUUGCCAUCGGCAACUUCCAGGCGCUGCAGCAUCGUGCAUCCGAUAUGUUCGUGAACCUGGAGCAGGCGCGCAGCAUGGCGCUGUUCGCUGUGGUGGCGACCGAUCUUCCGGAGUCCGAGCGCGCAACGGCGGUCGCGGCUGCCAAGGUGCAGGUCGGCAAGUCGUCGAAGUUCGUCGGU